rnacentral:rRNA from 2 species
AAACCGUUCAGGGGUAAACCUGAGAAACCCAAAAGGUCGAAUGGGGAGAUUCAUCGUCGACGGCGUUGGCUACCGUUGGUGCGCGAUGCUCCGGGUGGACCCUUGCGGUUCCAUUAGCGUGUGGCACACCACCUUCGGAUCGAACGUUCCGGCGUCGUAGUCGUGCACUUCUCCCCUAGUAGGACGUCGCGACCCGUUGUGUGUCGGUCUACGGCCCGAGUGGGCGCCUGUCGCGUCGUUUCGGCGCACGCGGCAGACCCUCGGUCGCCCGGCCGGCUGCACGACGGUACACUCACGGUAUCGGGCCGCAACCAGUCCAUUCUCGAAUGUGUGUGCGUCCAACCCGCCGCAAGUUCGGUCAGUUCUUACCCGGAGGUACGGACCCUGUGCCGUCCCCGGGCCUGGCCAGCUGUUAGCAGGCGGUGUCCUCGGACUGGCCAAAUCUCAGAUUACCGGUCGGCGACGCUAUUGCUUUGGGUACUCUCAGGACCCGUCUUGAAACACGGACCAAGGAGUCUAACAUGUGCGCGAGUCAUUGGGAUGCAUAAACCUAAAGGCGAAAUGAAAGUGAAAGUCGGCCUUCGCGCCGAUCGAGGGAGGAUGGGCCGCGUAACCAUGCGGCCUCGCACUCCCGGGGCGUCUCGUUCUCAUUGCGAGAAGAGGCGCACCUAGAGCGUACACGUUGGGACCCGAAAGAUGGUGAACUAUGCCUGGUCAGGACGAAGUCAGGGGAAACCCUGAUGGAGGUCCGUAGCGAUUCUGACGUGCAAAUCGAUCGUCGGAACUGGGUAUAGGGGCGAAAGACUAAUCGAA